CCGGUCGAGGGGCGCUGCAACGGACCGAGGUCCGCCACGCUCGAUCGGAACCUCAUCCGCAAGGGCGCCUCCCACAA
rnacentral:ncRNA from 5 species